GUUGGAAACAACAGAUUUCGGUCGAAAAUGAUGAUUUCGGUUGAAGUUGAUGAUUUUAGUAGAAGUUGGUUGGAAACAACAGAUUUCGGUCAAAGUUGAUGAUUUCGGUUGUAGUUGAUGAUUUCGGUCGAAGUUGGUUGGAAACAACAGAUUUCGGUCAAAGUUGAUGAUUUCGGUUGUAGUUGAUGAUUAAGGUCGAAGUUGGUUGGAAACAACAGAUUUCGGUCAAAGUUGAUGAUUUCGGUUGAAGUUGAUGAUUUUAGUAGAAGUUGGUUGGAAACAACAGAUUUCGGUCGAAAAUGAUGAUUUCGGUUGAAGUUGAUGAUUUUAGUAGAAGUUGGUUGGAAACAACAGAUUUCGGUCGAAAAUGAUGAUUUCGGUUGAAGUUGAUGAUUUUAGUAGAAGUUGGUUGGAAACAACAGAUUUCGGUCAAAGUUGAUGAUUUCGGUUGAAGUUGAUGAUUUAGGUCGAAGUUGGUUGGAAACAACAGAUUUCGGUCAAAGUUGAUGAUUUCGGUUGUAGUUGAUGAUUUAGGUCGAAGUUGGUUGGAAACAACAGAUUUCGGUCAAAGUUGAUGAUUUCGGUUGAAGUUGAUGAUUUUAGUAGAAGUUGGUUGGAAACAACAGAUUUCGGUCGAAAAUGAUGAUUUCGGUUGAAGUUGAUGAUUUUAGUAGAAGUUGGUUGGAAACAACAGAUUUCGGUCAAAGUUGAUGAUUUCGGUUGUAGUUGAUGAUUUAGGUCGAAGUUGGUUGGAAACAACAGAUUUCGGUCAAAGUUGAUGAUUUCGGUUGAAGUUGAUAAUUUCGGUCGAAGUUGGUUGGAAACAACAGAUUUCGGUCAAAGUUGAUGAUUUCGGUUGAAGUUGAUGAUUUAGGUCGAAGUUGGUUGGAAACUACAGAUUUCGGUCAAAGUUGAUGAUUUCGGUCGAAGUUGGUUGGAAACAACAGAUUUCGGUCAAAGUUGAUGAUUUCGGUUGAAGUUGAUGAUUUAGGUCGAAGUUGGUUGGAAACAACAGAUUUCGGUCAAAGUUGAUGAUUUCGGUUGUAGUUGAUGAUUUCGGUCGAAGUUGGUUGGAAACAACAGAUUUCGGUCAAAGUUGAUGAUUUCGGUUGAAGUUGAUGAUUUAGGUCGAAGUUGGUUGGAAACAACAGAUUUCGAUCAAAGUUGAUGAUUUCGGUUGAAGUUGAUGAUUUAGGUCGAAGUUGGUUGGAAACAACAGAUUUCGGUCAAAGUUGAUGAUUUCGGUUGAAGUUGAUGAUUUUAGUAGAAGUUGGUUGGAAACAACAGAUUUCGGUCAAAGUUGAUGAUUUCGGUUAAAGUUGAUGAUUUAGGUCGAAGUUGGUUGGAAACAACAGAUUUCGGUCAAAGUUGAUGAUUUCGGU